rnacentral:lncRNA from 1 species
AAAUUCAAAAAAUAUAAAGACGUGCUCAAGUCGUUAACACCGACCUAAGUGAGAUCGAAACAUACAAGAACAGUCCCAAAACGGGGACUAUUUGAGAUUCACUCCUACUAAGUGAAUCUCAAACGGGUUUCUAAGCUUCCUAAACUAUAUGAAAAUAUGCACAUGUCAAGUCACGUGGAAUAACUAUUAUUUUUACCCUUACUCAUAUUUUUUUAACAACAUACUCACAAACACUUGACAACCAUAAACAAAGACAGUUAAUUUCCC